AUUUAAAUAGCUUAUAAAGAGCGAGAUAUUGAAGAUAUCUAGGAAGUAGUAAUACUUUUAAAUA
rnacentral:tRNA from 1 species